AACGAACGCUGGCGGCAGGCUUAACACAUGCAAGUCGAGCGCCCCGCAAGGGGAGCGGCAGACGGGUGAGUAACGCGUGGGAAUCUACCCAUCUCUACGGAAUAACGCAUGGAAACGUGUGCUAAUACCGUAUACGUCCUUCGGGAGAAAGAUUUAUCGGAGAUGGAUGAGCCCGCGUUGGAUUAGCUAGUUGGUGGGGUAAAGGCCUACCAAGGCGACGAUCCAUAGCUGGUCUGAGAGGAUGAUCAGCCACACUGGGACUGAGACACGGCCCAGACUCCUACGGGAGGCAGCAGUGGGGAAUAUUGGACAAUGGGCGCAAGCCUGAUCCAGCCAUGCCGCGCGAGUGAUGAAGGCCCUAGGAUUGUAAAGCUCUUUCACCGGUGAAGAUAAUGACGGUAACCGGAGAAGAAGCCCCGGCUAACUUCGUGCCAGCAGCCGCCGUAACAC
rnacentral:rRNA from 1 species